UCUCCGUUGGUGAACCAGCGGAGGGAUCAUUACCGAAGUUACCUUCAAAACCCACUGUGAACCUUACCUCUUGCCGCGUUGUCUCGGCGGGAGGCGGUGUGCGUCGCGCGCCCUAGCGGGCCGCGCCGCUCCCGUCCCCGCCGGCAGCGCCAAACUCUAAAUGCACAGCGGACUGUACGUUCUGAUUUACAAAAAAAACAAGUUAAAACUUUCAACAACGGAUCUCUUGGUUCUA
rnacentral:misc_RNA from 1 species